rnacentral:ncRNA from 18 species
UCGCUUCAGAGGCUGGUACAUCCGUAUUUGUACCAAAAUCUGUACCAAAUUAUCCAAAUUCACUUAUGUUUGAUUAUUAAUACAUUGAUUUUCAAAGCAUAAUUACUGAAC